rnacentral:rRNA from 1 species
AACGCGAAGAACCUUACCAACCCUUGACAUGGCAGGACCGCUGGAGAGAUUCAGCUUUCUCGUAAGAGACCUGCACACAGGUGCUGCAUGGCUGUCGUCAGCUCGUGUCGUGAGAUGUUCGGUUAAGUCCGGCAACGAGCGCAACCCACGUCCCUAGUUGCCAGCAUUCAGUUGGGCACUCUAUGGAAACUGCCGAUGAUAAGUCGGAGGAAGGUGUGGAUGACGUCAAGUCCUCAUGGCCCUUACGGGUUGGGCUACACACGUGCUACAAUGGUGGUGACAGUGGGUUAAUCCCCAAAAGCCAUCUCAGUUCGGAUUGUCCUCUGCAACUCGAGGGCAUGAAGUGGAAUCGCUAGUAAUCGCG